GGACCCGUGGCUCAGUUGGUUAGAGCGCCUCGUUUACAUCGAGGAGGUCAUAGGUUCGAGUCCUAUCGGGUCCA
rnacentral:tRNA from 1 species